UGUCCAGUAACUCCUGUCUCUACCUCCCCGUGGUGCCGUCUGGGGUACGAAUAACCGUAGGGAAGAUCAAGGUUGG
rfam:Aedes aegypti strain Liverpool supercont1.278 genomic scaffold, whole genome shotgun sequence.